GGACUACUGGGGUAUCUAAUCCUGUUUGCUCCCCACGCUCUCGCGCCUCAGCGUCAGUAUCAGCCCAGGUAGCCGCCUUCGCCACCGGUGUUCCUUCCGAUAUCUACGCAUUUCACCGCUACACCGGAAAUUCCACUACCCUCUACUGUACUCUAGUAAAACAGUCUUGUAUGCACGUCCCAGGUUAAGCCCAGGGUUUUCACAUACAUCUUAUCCUACCGCCUACGCGCCCUUUACGCCCAGUAACUCCGAUUAACGCUCGCACCCUCUGUAUUACCGCGGCUGCUGGCAC
rnacentral:rRNA from 1 species